rnacentral:rRNA from 1 species
UACGUAGGGUCCGAGCGUUGUCCGGAAUUACUGGGCGUAAAGAGCUCGUAGGUGGUUUGUCGCGUUGUUCGUGAAAACUCACAGCUUAACUGUGGGCGUGCGGGCGAUACGGGCAGACUUGAGUACUGCAGGGGAGACUGGAAUUCCUGGUGUAGCGGUGGAAUGCGCAGAUAUCAGGAGGAACACCGGUGGCGAAGGCGGGUCUCUGGGACGGUACUGACGCUGAGACGCGAAAGCGUGGGGAGCGAACAGG